GCCCGGGCAACAGCGCGGCCGCACAAAGGAGGAGGGACUAAUUGAGGCGUGGUCGGUGGGGAGGUGGGGCUCGGGAGGGGCGGGUGCUGGCUCUUAGCUGCCCACCACUCGUGCUCUCCCUAGGGCACCAGUAGUCUAAAUCCUCCAGGUCCGGAUGACAGCUCCCGGGCCGUAAGUGGAUACAUCCUAGCUCUGUGGCGCUUUGGUCCAUUUCACUUUUUCUGUGGGCGUUCGCAAAGUGCGCGCCAAAGCCCGGAGACUAGUGACGCUACCAGGCUCUGAACUGAAGUAGGGAUCCCAGCAAGUGCGCCUCAGGGAGCAUUAGGAGCAGUACUACCGGGCCAAAGCGAGAUCCCGCCCACUCCUGCCGCCACCCCUAAGCAGGCUGGCCUAGGGGAAGUUCUCGGGGAUUGGCGCCUCACGCCACACAGGAGCCCAGUGUUACUGGGACAGCCCGAGGAGCAGGGAUUCCUUCCUUGGGUGCUGGCCAAGGAUUCAAGUCAAGAUACUGCGGCAAAGCCCCCACCCUAGCUCAGCCCACAACCACCUUACGGUUUCUCAACCGAAGACCCUGGACUGGGUCCAGAAAUGCUCCGGCAGCCACACCAAGCUUGCACCGGACAAGGGUCCUAAGACGGGCGCGUUUCAUCUGCUUCCUCAGCACCGGCAGAACAAAUCAAGGGAGGCUGCCACAGUCGGGGGCAAAUAACUACUAAGUAAUUAAAGCCACUGCUUUCAUGA